rnacentral:rRNA from 1 species
UACAUGGGGUGCAAACGUUGCUCGGAAUUAUUGGGCGUAAAGCGCGCGUAGGCGGUUACUUAUGUCGGAUGUGAAAGCCCUCGGCUUAACUGAGGAAGUGCAUUCGAAACUGGGUAGCUAGAGUACUAAAGAGGGUCGCGGAAUUCCCGGUGUAGAGGUGAAAUUCGUGAGAUAUCGGGAGGAACACCGGUGGCGAAGGCGGGUCUCUGGCCGAUACUGACGCUGAGGAGCGAAAGCGUGGGGAGCGAACAGG